rfam:Rattus norvegicus chromosome 17, whole genome shotgun sequence.
GGGGAUUUGGCUCAGUGGUAGAGCGCUUGCCUAGGAAGCGCAAGGUCCUGGGUUCGGUCCCCAGCCCCCA